rnacentral:rRNA from 1 species
UACGUAGGGUGCGAGCGUUAAUCGGAAUUACUGGGCGUAAAGCGUGCGUAGGCGGUUCCUCAAGUCCGUUGUGAAAGCCCCGGGCUCAACCUGGGAAUGGCAGUGGAAACUAGGGGACUGGAAUCUGGCAGAGGGGGGUGGAAUGCCGCGUGUAGCAGUGAAAUGCGUAGAGAUGCGGCGGAACACCGAUGGCGAAGGCAGCCCCCUGGGCUGAGAUUGACGCUCAGGCACGAAAGCGUGGGGAGCAAACAGGAUUAGAUACCCUGGUAGUCCACGCCCUAAACGAUGGCAACUAGGUGUUGGGGAAGCGAUUUCCUGGUACCGCAGCUAACGCGUGAAGUUGCCCGCCUGGGGAGUACGGUCGCAAGAUUAAA